GACCGUGUCGAAGGUAGCAUAGUCAUUAGUCUUUUAAUUGAAGACUGGAAUGAAAGGCUGGACAAAAAGUAAGCUCUCUCAGUUUAAAUAUGAAACUUGACUUUUAAGUGAAAAGGCUUAAAUAUCUCUUAGGGACGAUAAGACCCUAUAAAACUUUACAUGAUAUAAAUAAAUUUUUAUUUGUUUGUGAAAGAAGAUUUAUUUUUAUUUUGUUUCAUUGGGGUGAUGAAAGCAUAAAUUUAACUGCUUAAUUUUUAUACAAAAAUCUUUGAAAAGUGUGAUCCUAGUUGAAGAAUCAAGAAAAAGUUACUUUAGGGAUAACAGCGUGAUUUUUUUUGAGAGUUCUUAUCGACAAAAAAGUUUGCGACCUCGAUGUUGAAUUAAAAUAGCCCUAUAGUGUAGCAGUUAUAGGGGCAGGUCUGUUCUGACCUU
rnacentral:rRNA from 1 species